rnacentral:rRNA from 1 species
UACGGAGGGGGCUAGCGUUGUUCGGAAUUACUGGGCGUAAAGCGCACGUAGGCGGCUUUGUAAGUUAGAGGUGAAAGCCCGGGGCUCAACUCCGGAACUGCCUUUAAGACUGCAUCGCUAGAAUUGUGGAGAGGUAAGUGGAAUUCCGAGUGUAGAGGUGAAAUUCGUAGAUAUUCGGAAGAACACCAGUGGCGAAGGCGACUUACUGGACACAUAUUGACGCUGAGGUGCGAAAGCGUGGGGAGCAAACAGG